rnacentral:rRNA from 1 species
UACGAAGGGAGCUAGCGUUGUUCGGAAUCACUGGGCGUAAAGCGCACGUAGGCGGAUGUGUCAGUCAGGGGUGAAAUCCCGGAGCUCAACUUCGGAACUGCCUUUGAUACAGCACGUCUUGAGUCCGAUAGAGGUGGGUGGAAUUCCUAGUGUAGAGGUGAAAAUUCGUAGAUAUUAGGAAGAACACCGGUGGCGAAGGCGGCCCACUGGAUCGGUACUGACGCUGAGGUGCGAAAGCGUGGGGAGCGAACAGG